rnacentral:rRNA from 1 species
GGGUAACGGCCCACCGUGCCAAUAAUCGGUACGGGUUGUGAGAGCAAGAACCCGGAGACGGAAUCUGAGACAAGAUUCCGGGCCCUACGGGGCGCAGCAGGCGCGAAACCUUUACACUGCACGACAGUGCGAUAGGGGGACUCCGAGUGCGGAGGCAUAGUGCCUUCGCUUUUGUACACCCUAAGGCGGUGUACGAAUAAGAGCUGGGCAAGACCGGUGCCAGCCGCCGCGGUAAUACCGGCAGCUCGAGUGAUGACCGAUCUUAUUGGGCCUAAAGCGUUCGUAGCCGGCCGAGCAAGUUCGUCGGGAAAUCUACCAGCUCAACUGGUAGGCGUCCGGCGAAAACUGCCCGGCUUGGGACAGGGAGACUCGAAGGGUACGUCCGGGGUAGGAGUGAAAUCCUGUAAUCCUGGACGGACCACCGAUGGCGAAAGCACUUCGAGAGAGCUGAUCCGACGGUCAGGAACGAAAGCUGGGGUCUCGAACCGGAUUAGAUACCCGGGUAGUCCCAGCUGUAAACGAUGUUCGCUAGGUGCGACGCAGACUACGAGUCUGUGUUGUGCCGUAGGGAAGCCGAGAAGCGAACCGCCUGGGAAGUACGUCCGCAAGGAUGAAACUUAAAGGAAUUGGCGGGGGAGCACUACAACCGGAGGAGCCUGCGGUUUAAUUGGACUCAACGCCGGACAUCUCACCAGCCCCGACUGUUCGAAUGACGCUCAGUGUGAUGAGCUUAGCAGACGAUCAGAGAGGAGGUGCAUGGCCGCCGUCAGCUCGUACCGUGAGGCGUCCUGUUAAGUCAGGCAACGAGCGAGACCCGCAUCCCUAAUUGCCAGCAAGACCCACGAGGUCGUUGGGUACAUUACGGAGACUGCCGCCGCCAAGGCGGAGGAAGGAACGGGCAACGGUAGGUCAGUAUGCCCCGAAUGGGCUGGGCUACACGCGGGCUACAAUGGUCAGGACAAUGGGUUCCUACUCCGAAAGGAGACGGUAAUCUCAGAAACCUGGUCGUAGUUCGGAUUGUGGGCUGAAACUCGCCCACAUGAAGCUGGAUUCGGUAGUAAUCGCGUGUCACAAGCGCGCGGUGAA